rnacentral:rRNA from 1 species
AAGAACUCUCUUUAAGGAACUCUGCAAAAUAGCACCGUAUCUUCGGUAUAAGGUGUGGUUAGCUUUGUAUUAGGAUUUACUCCGAAAGCAAGGAAACUUACAACAAAGAGUCCCUCCCGACUGUUUACCAAAAACACAGCACUCUGCUAACUCGUAAGAGGAUGUAUAGGGUGUGACGCCUGCCCGGUGCUCGAAGGUUAAUUGAUGGGGUUAGCAUUAGCGAAGCUCUUGAUCGAAGCCCGAGUAAACGGCGGCCGUAACUAUAACGGUCCUAAGGUAGCGAAAUUCCUUGUCGGUUAAAUACCGACCUGCAUGAAUGGCGUAACGAGAUGGGAGCUGUCUCAAAGAGGGAUCCAGUGAAAUUGUAGUGGAGGUGAAAAUUCCUCCUACCCGCGGCAAGACGGAAAGACCCCGUGGACCUUUACUACAGCUUGACACUGCUACUUGGAUAAGAAUGUGCAGGAUAGGUGGGAGGCUUUGAGUAUAUGACGCCAGUUGUAUAUGAGCCAUUGUUGAGAUACCACUCUUUCUUAUUUGGGUAGCUAACCAGCUUGAGUUAUCCUCAAGUGGGACAAUGUCUGGUGGGUAGUUUGACUGGGGCGGUCGCCUCCCAAAUAAUAACGGAGGCUUACAAAGGUUGGCUCAGAACGGUUGGAAAUCGUUCGUAGAGUAUAAAGGUAUAAGCCAGCUUAACUGCAAGACAUACAAGUCAAGCAGAGACGAAAGUCGGUCUUAGUGAUCCGGUGGUUCUGUGUGGAAGGGCCAUCGCUCAAAGGAUAAAAGGUACCCCGGGGAUAACAGGCUGAUCUCCCCCAAGAGCUCACAUCGACGGGGAGGUUUGGCACCUCGAUGUCGGCUCAUCGCAUCCUGGGGCUGGAGCAGGUCCCAAGGGUAUGGCUGUUCGCCAUUUAAAGCGGUACGCGAGCUGGGUUCAGAACGUCGUGAGACAGUUCGGUCCCUAUCUGCCGUGGGCGUAAGAAGAUUGAAGAGAUUUGACCCUAGUACGAGAGGACCGGGUUGAACAAACCACUGGUGUAGCUGUUGUUCUGCCAAGAGCAUCGCAGCGUAGCUAAGUUUGGAAAGGAUAAACGCUGAAAGCAUCUAAGCGUGAAGCCAACUCUAAGAUGAAUCUUCUCUAAGCUCUCUAGAAGACUACUAGUUUGAUAGGCUGGGUGUGUAAUGGAUGAAAGUCCUUUAGCUGACCAGUACUAAUAGAGCGUUUGGCUUAUCUUU